ncrna:unclassified sequences throat-1 RNA
AGUCCUCGCCAAUAGGACUAUAAAUAUAGAAAGCGAUUGUAAAGUUUCGCCUACGGUUUCGUAAUGCCGACGCAAUAAAAGGACGGGGAUUGUAUAUGUGCACCUAUUCAAACAAUGCAAUUCCUAAAUGGUAGAAGAUGUUGCGAAGCCAGUACCGCCUGGCGAUGAAAUGGCGGACGAAUUAGCAACAAAGGGUAAGGUUUAAUCGCCGAAGUUAGAUUUCGGAUAGCUGCGGAAGUGGCGGGAUUGGUAUAGUAGAUCAGUAAUGAUCUGAUAUGUAGGGCAAAUUGGAUUAAGACGCAUAGAAAUAUAUUUAAGCUGUAGAAGGCUUACUACAAUA